GAUCAUGGCUCAGGACGAACGCUGGCGGCGUGCCUAAUACAUGCAAGUAGAACGCUGAAGAGAGGAGCUUGCUCUUCUUGGAUGAGUUGCGAACGGGUGAGUAACGCGUAGGUAACCUGCCUUGUAGCGGGGGAUAACUAUUGGAAACGGAUAGCUAAUACCGCAUAACAAUGGAUGACCCAUGUCAUUUAUUUGAAAGGGGCAAAUGCGUACCACUACAAGAUGGACCUGCGUUG
rnacentral:rRNA from 1 species